rnacentral:rRNA from 1 species
GGACGCUUACGAGGGUUUCGGCCCUUGUGGGAGUGGCGCACGGGUGAGUAGCGCGUGGGAACCUGCCCCUUUGUGGGGGAUAACCGAGGGAAACUUCGGCUAAUACCGCAUGCGCCCGGAGUGAUCCGGGGAAAGAUUUAUCGCAGAGGGAGGGGCCCGCGUCGGAUUAGCUGGUUGGUGGGGUAACGGCCUACCAAGGCGAUGAUCCGUAGCUGGUCUGAGAGGAUGAUCAGCCACACUGGGACUGAGACACGGCCCAGACUCCUACGGGAGGCAGCAGUAGGGAAUAUUGGACAAUGGGGGCAACCCUGAUCCAGCAAUGCCGCGUGAGUGAUGAAGGCCUUAGGGUUGUAAAGCUCUUUCGCACGCGACGAUGAUGACGGUAGCGUGAGAAGAAGCCCCGGCUAACUUCGUG